rnacentral:lncRNA from 1 species
UUUCUCCGCCCCUGGGAAGUUCACCUCAGUAGAUGCUCAGCUGUGCUGAUGCCAGGCAGCCCUCGUCCACCCAGAGGCGGCUGGGGGCGUCGACUUUUGCCCACCGUGAAACCUGCGCUCUGCCCACAGGGCUGGCUGUCCUGCGUGCCCGCUGCGGUGGGUUCCAAGCUGCAGGAAUGACGACCGGAGUCUGGUUCUCGGGACCUGCCCCUGUCUUCACCGCAAAGAUCCGCUUCAGGUGGAGGGAAUGCAGGGCUGCUGUGAGCCCGUGGGUUUCUCCAGAGGACUCUGAAGUCCUCCUGGUUCCCCAGGUCUCCAUUGUUUCCCUAGUUUCAGAUUAGACCUGCUUUUUUCAUUCAGAACAGUAGUUUCAUUUCUCAAGGCAGCGUUUUCCUCUUGAAGCCUCUCAGGUUCGUAUCUCACAGGCUCUUUUGCUGGAUCUCACUGCACGUGACUUGCCGGCCAGGCAUCAUCAACCUCUGCUCUUCCUUUCCUCCCCGCGAGGAGGCCUGGGAUGACAACUCUCUCCAACUUCAUCAGCUCCUGUAAAGUUUUUCUCCAGCUCUAAUUCUGUUGUGAGGGCCUGAAGCAGAAAUGUUUACCUUGGAGGCCUGGAAAAGCAAUGCUUUCCCCCGUAUAACUUGAGUCUGUACUCUUGGCUUUCCUUGAUGAGUCUGAAUUGUUCCAUGUAACCAGGAAAUCUCAUAUACUGACACUAAGAGCCGUGCACUCUGACUUGCUGAAGGUACUGGUUUUCUUAUUUAUACUCCUUUACAAUAUGGGACACAUUCAUAAGUUUGGACACACAUUUUUUUUUUCUGUGUUUAAUUAAAUUCAAGUACCUUUCAUCAGAUUCAAUUUCCAAGAUAUCUAAAUGGGCUUCCCAGAAGGAAGAGCAAUCGCAGUGCAGGAGGGUUUCUCCACCUUCUUGGUAACUGGCCCUUUAAAAAGCCCAGUGGAUUUACCUUUUACCAAGACAAUUUCCUGUGUUGUCUCUAUUACGUUUUUGGUUACUUAGGAAAACAGCUUGAAAAGGGUUAAGGUUUUAACAUCCAUGUACUUUUCUGUAUUGCUUUGAAGUCUUUUGAUUACUACUCUGGUUAAAUGACUUUAUUCUGGUUAAAUGAAGUUAUUUCACUGUGACCUGUGGUUCUGUUUUGGUCGAGUGUUUUGAACCUUUUUGUAUCCUUGGCAGGCUUCCCCAGGAUUGAAAUUCUAAAUUAAGUCUUUUUGGUCUAGAAUUAACUUUGAAAUUUUCUAGUUGGGCCCCUGGAGAGCCUCACACAAUGUUAUCUCUCAUCUUGUAGAGAUAUUAAAUAAUUAGGCUUAUUCGAUAAAUUAUAUGGAAAGCAUCGUGAAAUGAUAAGUGACACUAGAUCAUUCAGUUACAUUUAUGGGAAUGUUAUGGAUGUGAAUGUUUCAAAAAUUAUAUAAAUUCAUAGAACUCUAAUAUGUCAUCAGUCCUAAUUCUGGAUAUUAUGUCAUGUGCUAUAAAAAUAACUCUAUUUCCUUGUUACUUACUGAUUAUAAUAAACUUCCAUCAGAGUUUUAACCAUGGCUAUUCUAAGUGUCAUCUACAGUUAUUGUUUUACAUUCUCCCCUAAAAGCAUCUGCAAUCAGACUCAUGGAAAAGAUUUCAACAAGUGCUCUUACAUAUAGAUUCUUA